rnacentral:tRNA from 1 species
GUUGUCUUGGUCGAGUGAUUAAGGCGAUAGCCUUUUGGAAUAUUCCCGAGCAGGUUCGAAUCCUGCAGACAACG